AUUGAACGCUGGCGGCAGGCCUAACACAUGCAAGUCGAACGAGUGGCGGACGUGUGAGUAAUGUCUGGGAAACUGCCCGAUGGAGGUGGAUAACUACUGGAAACGGUAGCUAAUACCGCAUACCAUCGGAUGUGCCCAGAUGGGAUUAGCUAGGGGGUUGGGUAACGGCUCACCUAGGCGACGAUACCUAGCUGGUCUGAGAGGAUGACCAGCCACACUGGAACUGAGACACGGUCCAAACUCCUACGGGAGGCAGCAGUGGGGAAUAUUGCACAAUGGGCGAAAGCCUGAUGGAGCCAUGCCGCGUGUAUGAAGAAGGCCUUCGGGUUGUAAAGUACUUUCAGCGAGGAAGCGGUAAUCGAAGAAGAAGCACCGGCUAACUCCGUGCCAGCAGCCGCGGUAAUUC
rnacentral:rRNA from 1 species